UGGGGAAUAUUGGACAAUGGGGGAAACCCUGAUCCAGCAAUGCCGCGUGAGUGAAGAAGGCCUUAGGGUUGUAAAGCUCUUUCGCCCGCGAAGAUAAUGACGGUAGCGGGAGAAGAAGCCCCGGCUAACUCCGUGCCAGCAGCCGCGGUAAUACGGAGGGGGCUAGCGUUGUUCGGAAUUACUGGGCGUAAAGCGUACGUAGGCGGAUGCGCAAAUUGGGGGUGAAAUCCCGGGGCUUAACCUCGAAAUUGCCCUCAAAACUGCACGUCUUUAGACCGAGAGAAGUAACGGGAAGUCCUAGUGUAGAGGUGAAAUU
rnacentral:rRNA from 1 species